rnacentral:lncRNA from 1 species
CUUCCCCACGGAGCACCAGCAGCACUCCAGUGUCAGCGCUGCAGUCACUGCUGCUUUUGCCUCCGCACAAGAAAUCGAUGAGUACUUUGAUCUUGGCUUUCUUGCCUGGCAGUAGUCUCCAGGGACGACAGCGUGAGGUCUUCUGAAUGGUGAAAGCUGAGACUCAACUGUUCUGCAGGAGACCCUGAAACCUGGAAAGAGCAGAUUCUCCUUCAGUUGGUGCUGAUCUCCAAGGUAACAGCAGCCACAGUGCUGAGCGUGGGACCUCACGGGGCUCAGGCCUGUCAGCUGCGCGUGGGACCUCACGGGGCUCAGGCCUGUCAACUGCAAAGGAAACGCCUUGGGAACAGUCCUUAACUUCCAUCCAUAACUACUGUUGUCCUUCUCGAAUGAUGCGUGGAACCAGAAAAGCCACUGGAGACCACAAAAUCUUAACAUGACAAGUAGACCACACCACUGGGAGUAACAGGCUCAGCACUUCACGUACAGCCAAGGUUGCCAGUGUUCUGAUGCUACAUCGCCAGAGCCCAGGAGGCCCAUGUCAGCCAUCAGUCAGAGUGGAGAGGAAGUGAUAAUGGCAGUGGCUUCUCAAAGGUCUGUUACCUCCUUAUGAGAAGGCACCAAGUUUGGUUGAAUGUGGCCAAGCAACAGCAAUGCAGGUGUGGUGCACUGGGUAUAAGGUCUCAACAGUGGUGCCUCUCAAAGCAGUUUUGGAUUUAGGAGGUG